rnacentral:sRNA from 2 species
CACUCCGUCGGGGAGUAGUCGCCUUCCGCAUGCCGCGGAAGGGCCUGCGUCAACACGCUCGGCCAGCCGGCCGUGGCGCAGGCGAUGCACCAACCCGCAUC